UACGUAGGGUGCGAGCGUUAAUCGGAAUUACUGGGCGUAAAGCGUGCGCAGGCGGUUCGUUGUGUCUGAUGUGAAAGCCCCCGGGCUCAACCUGGGAAUGGCAUUGGAAACUGGCGAGCUAGAGUGUGGCGGAGGGGGGUGGAAUUCCGCGUGUAGCAGUGAAAUGCGUAGAGAUGCGGAGGAACACCGAUGGCGAAGGCAGCCCCCUGGGCUGACACUGACGCUCAGGCACGAAAGCGUGGGGAGCAAACAGG
rnacentral:rRNA from 1 species